rnacentral:rRNA from 1 species
AUUGAGCGCUGGCGGCAGGCCUAACACAUGCAAGUCGAGCGGAUGACAGGAGCUUGCUCCUGGAUUCAGCGGCGGACGGGUGAGUAAUGCCUAGGAAUCUGCCUGGUAGUGGGGGACAACGUUUCGAAAGGAACGCUAAUACCGCAUACGUCCUACGGGAGAAAGCAGGGGACCUUCGGGCCUUGCGCUAUCAGAUGAGCCUAGGUCGGAUUAGCUAGUUGGUGAGGUAAUGGCUCACCAAGGCGACGAUCCGUAACUGGUCUGAGAGGAUGAUCAGUCACACUGGAACUGAGACACGGUCCAGACUCCUACGGGAGGCAGCAGUGGGGAAUAUUGGACAAUGGGCGAAAGCCUGAUCCAGCCAUGUCGCGUGUGUGAAGAAGGUCUUCGGAUUGUAAAGCACUUUAAGUUGGGAGGAAGGGUUGUAGAUUAAUACUCUGCAAUUUUGACGUUACCGACAGAAUAAGCACCGGCUAACUCUGUGCCAGCAGCCGCAGUAAAAC